AUUGAACGCUGGCGGCAUGCCUUACACAUGCAAGUCGAACGGCAGCACGGGAGCAAUCCUGGCGGCGAGUGGCGAGCGGGUGAGUAAAGUAUCGGAACGUGCCCAGUCGUGGGGGAUAACGUAGCGAAAGCUACGCUAAUACCGCAUACGAUCUAUGGAUGAAAGCGGGGGACCGUAAGGCCUCGCGCGAUUGGAGCGGCCGAUAUCAGAUUAGGUAGUUGGUGGGGUAAAGGCCUACCAAGCCGACGAUCUGUAGCUGGUCUGAGAGGACGACCAGCCACACUGGGACUGAGACACGGCCCAGACUCCUACGGGAGGCAGCAGUGGGGAAUUUUGGACAAUGGGCGCAAGCCUGAUCCAGCAAUGCCGCGUGCAGGAUGAAGGCCUUCGGGUUGUAAACUGCUUUUGUACGGAGCGAAAAGGCUUCCACUAAUACUGGGAGCUCAUGACGGUACCGUAAGAAUAAGCACCGGCUAACUACGUGCCAGCCGCCGCCGUAAAAC
rnacentral:rRNA from 1 species